rnacentral:rRNA from 1 species
UGUCUGGUAAUUGGAAUGAGAACAAUUUAAAUCCCUUAUCGAAUGCAAUUGGAGGGCAAGUCUGGUGCCAGCAGCCGCGGUAACACCAGCUCCAAUAGCGUAUAUUAAAGUUGUUGCAGUUAAAAAGCUCGUAGUUGGAUAUCUGAGUAGGAUGCCUGGCCCGCCUCCCGCAAGGGAGUGUGUGUGCCGGUGCGACCUAUUCAUCCUUCCAGAGUGGAUGCCCGCUCUUAACUGAGCCGGACGUCUAAUUUGGAUCUUUUACUUUGAAAAAAUUAGAGUGUUCAAAGCAAGCGUUUUGCUGUGAAUACAUUAGCAUGGAAUAAUAAAAUAGGACUUUGGCCUAUUUUGUUGGCUUCUAGGACCAGAGUAAUGAUUGAUAGGGAUAGUUGGGGGUGCUUGUAUUGGACGGCCAGAGGUGAAAUUCUUGGAUUCGUUCAAGACAAACUACUGCGAAAGCAUUCACCAAGGAUGUCUUCUUUAAUCAAGAACGAAAGUUUGGGGAUCGAAGACGAUUAGACACCGUCGUAGUCUAAACCAUAAACUAUGCCGACUAAGGAUCAGUGAAUGUUGAUUAUAGACUUCAUUGGGACUUUACGAGAAAUCAAAGUUUUUGGGUUCUGGGGGGAGUCUGGUCGCAAGGCUGAAACUUAAAGGAAUUGACGGAAGGGCACACCAGGAGUGGAGCCUGCGGCUUAAUUUGACCCAACACGGGAAAUCUUACCAGGUCCGGAGACGCGAAGGAUUGACAGAUUGCAGAUCUUUCUUGAUUGCGUCGGUGGUGGUGCAUGGCCGUUCUUAGUUGGUGGAGUGAUUUGUCUGGUUAAUUCCGAUAACGAACGAGACCUCAGCCUGCUAAAUAGUUGGAUGAAUGCUUUCGUGUUCAUACUGACUUCUUAGUGGGACUGUCGGUUUCUAGCCGAAGGAAGCGUGAGGCAAUAACAGGUCUGUGAUGCCCUUAGAUGUUCUGGGCUGCACGCGCGCUACACUGUUGCAUUCAACAAGCUUCACCCUUGAUCGACAGGUCUGGGUAAUCUUAUAAAAUGCAACGUGAUGGGGAUUGAUAAUUGUAAUUAUUUGUCAUGAACCAGGAAUUCCUAGUAAACGUGAGUCAUAAGCUCACAUUGAUUACGUCCCUGCCCUUUGUACACACCGCCCGUCGCUCCUACCGAUUGAAUGAUCCGGCGAAAUCCUCGGACCGCUGCAAGAGGUGUUUCGGCAUUUUUUGUAAGUGGAAAGUUGAUUAAACCAUAUCAU